AUUAUUGAAUGAACUUGGCAUGAUUGUAGCUGGUCCUUUCGAGGGCAUGUGCACGUCUGUCAUCUUUAUCUUUCCACCUGUGCACCAAUUGUAGGUCUAAAAAAAUUUUCCCCCGAGACGCUUGUUGGGGGGUAUGGGGGUUUGCUGUGUAUUAUCACCAGCUUUCCCUGGAUUUUCUAGAUCUAUGUUUUCAUAUACACCAUAAAAUGUAAUAGAAUGUUAUUAUUGGGCAUUUGUUGCCUAUAAACUAUAUACAACUUUCAGCAACGGAUCUCUUGGCUCUCGCAUCGAUGAAGAACGCAGCGAAAUGCGAUAAGUAAUGUGAAUUGCAGAAUUCAGUGAAUCAUCGAAUCUUUGAACGCACCUUGCGCUCCUUGGUAUUCCGAGGAGCAUGCCUGUUUGAGUGUCAUUAAAUUCUCAACCUUAUCAGCUUUUGUUGAUAAUGGCUUGGAUGUGGGGGUUUAUUGCUAGCUUCUAAUGAGGUUGGCUCCCCUUAAAUGUAUUAGCUGGUUGCCUUGUGCAGACUUGUCUAUUGGUGUGAUAAUUAUCUACGCUGUGGACUUUCUGCCA
rnacentral:rRNA from 1 species